AGCGAACGCUGGCGGCAGGCUUAACACAUGCAAGUCGAGCGGGCACUUUCGGGUGUCCGCGGCGGACGGGUGAGUAACGCGUGGGAACGUGCCCUCUGGUUCGGAAUAACUCAGGGAAACUUGAGCUAAUACCGGAUACGCCCUUUUGGGGAAAGGCUUGCUGCCGGAGGAUCGGCCCGCGUCUGAUUAGCUAGUUGGUGAGGUAACGGCUCACCAAGGCGACGAUCAGUAGCUGGUCUGAGAGGAUGAUCAGCCACACUGGGACUGAGACACGGCCCAGACUCCUACGGGAGGCAGCAGUGGGGAAUAUUGGACAAUGGGCGCAAGCCUGAUCCAGCCAUGCCGCGUGAGUGAUGAAGGCCUUAGGGUUGUAAAGCUCUUUUAUCCGGGACGAUAAUGACGGGACCGGAGGAAUAAGCCCCGGCGAACUUCGU
rnacentral:rRNA from 1 species